CUUUCAUGAUGUUCCAGAGAACUUAAAUCCAUAUAACCGUAGAACAUACUCGAUUUUAACUGAUAUCCAGUGUGGGCGCAUACCCACUGGCGUUUUACAAGACAUGCCGUUACAGUACGUGAAUGGAACUGUUCUUUUGUGAGGUGUUGUAAACUCCCGGUCCAACUUUAACAAAGAGAAAAGAACACUUAUAGUGGUGCUUAUAACUUCAUCAGUUGUGCCACUUUUCUUUGCAGUGGCAUAUGCCUUUAGAAAGACAAAGAAACAGUCUCACAUUAAAGCUUCUCUAAUUCGUACAGGAAACAAGCGGCUGUGAGGC